GCAGGAAAAUACAUUUUGUGUUAUCAUUAAACUUUAAAAACAAAACAAAAAAGACUGCACCAAGACAAUAAUUACACUGUAGGUACUGUAAGCCCCAUUAUCUGAAAGCAUUUCAUGAAGAAUCAAAGUGGCUGAAAUUAAUUAAUCUAAAAAUUAAGCUGAAAAAAGUUCUACAGAGUAGCUUUAAGGUCAUUAUUACCAAACAUCAAAAUUGCUUUCACUUUUUAAAGAUAAAUUUUUUGGGGGGGUCUUGGAGCCAUUCAAGUGAAGUACUAAUUAACCUCAGGGAUAAAACAAAAGUAUAUAGAUGUAUUUGCUACAAGUAAAGCAUGAUUAGAUACCUUCAAAAUUAGUAAAUGUUUUCCUUUUAGGACACAGGAACUUACCACUUUUGUUUUCAUACGAUCAAUCACAAAGCUUUAUUAUUCUUUUUCCACACACAACUCAAUAUAAUCCUGCUAUGCACAAAGUAGCAUGGUUUGGGCUAAACAAUUCUGGAUAAGUGAUAUUUUUUCAAGGUGUUCAUUUUUCAAAUUGCCAUGUUUGAUAACAUAUUUGCUUGAGUAUCAGAAAAAUGAACACCUUAUAAUACAAUCUACUACCUUCAUAACUUUGACAAGGGGUAUUUCAAGCACCUAUUUGCCUGGGAUACUAGAUCUCCAAAAAUUCCAAGUCAGAUGCUUAACACUAAAAGAAAAAACACUAUAAUCUUAUAAUCUGGCUUUAUUAGAAGCAAAUGAGUCUUGGAACCUCAUUUGCAUAUAAUUAAAUCCAGCUAAUCUAGGGAGAACCUUGCCAAACACAGGAAAGAGGUUCUAGGUAUCGGACAUAUUGGAGAAAACCUUCAGCACAGAUGAAAUAAUUUAAUAAUUAUUCCAUUUCCAAUAUUUAGAGGUUCCUCAUACAAGACAUUUUAUACAGCAAAGCAGUAAAAAUAAACUGUAAAUCCACAUUGGUGAGCCAAGAUAAACUAAACAUUAAACAUAUAAAUAAGUAUUUCAUACUGAAGAUUACUAAUCAGCUUGAAUGAGAAAUCUUGCUCUUAAAAGGACUACAUUGUUCACUGUUUCCCUUAAGUCUUUUACUUUAAAACAACCAAUCUGCUUAGCAUUUCAGGAAUUCUAAAGUCAAAUUAAAAACCUGAAGAAAUACCUCUAACACUAUCAAAAUUUCACUGCUGGGUAAAUGUUAGUUAAAAAAAAAAAAAAAAAAAAACAACAAAAGUCUUAAAACAGGUAAGGCACCUCAUUUGAUUACAUUACAGUUUCCUUCUCAUCACACCUUAACUUAUUCAUGGUGUGUGGAUGGCAUGUUCCCCAAAUUUAUAUAUGUAUGAAAACAUCAUUUAGCAAUGUCAUUAUUAAACUAUCUGCCAUAUUUUUUCUAUUUUGUGAAUGAUCCACAUAUAGGAUCACCUAAUCCAAUACUUGUUUGUGUGUGUCUUGGGAGUGCAAAAUAUUUUAAUAUUAGCCUGAGAAAAACAUAAAAACUAAACUCUAAAAUGUAAUUUACUCAAUUAUCUGUUAUUUGGGAUAAUCCAUUUCUAUAGUGCCAAGAAUAAUUAGGCACUUAAAAUGCUUUUCUGCUGAUGCUUCUCCUCUCUUGUAGAUAAAUCAGAAUCUAAGUGUACUUCAUUACCAGGCAACCACAUCUACACUGUAUUUUUGCAUCCUUUUCCCUCUCCUGUCUUAGAAAAAUGUACUGACAAGAGUGUGCCUAAACGAAACUUAUCCUGAAACUGUAAGAGUUUACAAACUAUUGUCUAAGAGCCAAGUGUAUGAAGUGGCACCAGGCCAGAAAAUAUAAUCAGUUUAAAGGUCUCUGUUCGUAGUAUGAGAAUUAUGGAAACACUGUGAUCCAAUAGCCUUGUGUUGCCAUACUCUGAAAAUGCAAUGUAGAAAAAAAGGUACUCAACAUUCUCUUUAAGUUUCAAAAUUUUCUCUUAAAGAUAGAUUUAUAAACAAGGACUUAGGUUUUACUAGAUGAUCUAUUCUAGAAACUUUGCCAUGUGGUCUUAAUCCUUAUUUUUUCAAAAACAAGAGCAAUAAGAUUAUUUUGGUCUGAUUGUUUUUUCUUCUUUUGUAUUUUGAUAAGAAAAAAGGGACAAUGGAUCAUUCUUUGUGUAGGAGGUAGAAACUCUUAAAGAGUGUUCCAAACAAUGUCACUUGGAUAAAUGAAUAAAGUCAUAUAUUGGAACUUAUUGAUUUUAUGCCAGUUUUUGUAUCAAAACAAACCCUGUUCAGAAAAUUGCAAAUAAAGAUAAGUCUGAUGGUCUAACACCCCUCAGACACCUGAAACUACUGAAAUAUGCAUAGUUCAAGUUAUCAUAAUUCUUUCAUUUAUGACAGAGUCCAUACCAGUUCACUUUUCUAAAUUCAGCAUCAUUUCUGACAAAGAAAAUUCCAUCACCACAGCAUCAAUCUGUCUCUUUAAAUUUCAUUUUCAGAUUAUGCCAGAAUAUAAUAUUGGGUAUAACAACAAAGAAAAUCCAUUUAAUUUGCAUUCUGAUUUAGAAACGAUAAGUGUGUCAUUGUUUAAAUGUUUUAAACAAGAGAUGACAUCAGUGAAUUUUACUAAAUUGAAGAAGAGCCUCAGAAUUGCUAUGAAGCAGGGAUGAAGGCAGCAAACGGAAGUUUAGCAGCAUGCAAUAGAAUCAUAGCAAAUAUGCAUCUAUUCUUGAUUAAAGAAAUAGAAGAAUUCUAAUAAAAGGAACAAUUUUUCUAAGUUAGCAUUACUCUUGCUCCUUUCUCUUUAAUGAAGACAUAUGUGAUGCCACUAUGAUAGAUUUUUUUUUUAAAUAAAAAUUGUGGCUAGUUCAUUUUCAUUACUCAUGGUUUCUAGAGAUGGUUCAUAACUAAAUCAUAUAAGAUGAUGAAAGGUGAAAAACUUGACUCUGAAAUCUUUAAGGUGCAAGAUGGGAAUAUAUAAGGUAGUAAUAGAUAUGGAAGUUUUCUGUAUUAUUAAAGGUCAACUUAAAAAGGACUAGAUGUCCAAAACAAGAGGACAAAAUAUUUUCUAAGGGUUAAGGUGUGUGUGUGUGUGUGUGUGUGUGUGUGUGUUUGUGUGUGUGUGAGAUAAAUGUACUAGAUAUCAUUUUAAGGCAGAAAAUUACAUUCUUUGAUUCAUUAAAAUUUUUUACUUUGUCUUUUUUUCUGAGAGUCUCCUAUCAAUUCCAAUAUGAAACAACGUCAUGUAAUGGGUGUCUAUCCUUUGAAGUACUAUUUAGUAAGUUUAGUUUACUUAACAGUAAUAAAAAUACAAGAAUUCACCCUGAAAUUUUCUGUCCAUUCCCUGACAAGCCUCCACUAUAGGAAACAAAAGAAAAUUCACAUAAGCCUAUAAUUUUGCUCCUGAGAUACAUAGAAAAUAUUAAAAUAGGAAGUCAACGUGGCUAUAAUAACUCAGUAUUAAGGCUGAGAUGCUAAUUAUACCCAAAGCUAGGAAAUUCCAAUAACUUUUUCAGCAAAUUCUAACAGGGAAAUGUUCCCAUAAAUAGGUCUUUUGAGUUUAUGAUGUUGUAACUGAUUAUGUGUAUAGAGUAAAAUUUUUUUAUGUUAUUAAAUCUGCGAUUCUUUCAGAAAAGCAAUUAAUGCUUAUAUUGAAUCUGAAUGUGUUCUAAACCCUCUGAUGCAAAAGCAGCACAAAGCACUUUGUUAGACAAACACAAAAAGGGAUAGAAUAAAGCAUAUCUAUGAGAAAAAAUAAAUUUAAAUAGUUAUGAACUAUUUUAUUAAUUGUUUCUCCCACCAAGAAAAUCUUCCUGCAACAAUCUGAAAAAGGAAAGAAAUGGAGGAAAAAAGCCUCAAAAGAUACUUAA
ensembl:lncRNA